GGAAUGGGGAGGCUACCAUGCAGUCGAGCGGCAGCGACAACAUUGAACCUUCGGGGGAUUUGUUGGGCGGCGAGCGGCGGACGGGUGAGUAAUGCUUGGGAAUAUGCCUUAUGGUGGGGGACAACAGUUGGAAACGACUGCUAAUACCGCAUGAUGUCUACGGACCAAAGUGGGGGACCUUCGGGCCUCACGCCAUAAGAUUAGCCCAAGUGGGAUUAGCUAGUUGGUGAGGUAAUGGCUCACCAAGGCGACGAUCCCUAGCUGGUUUGAGAGGAUGAUCAGCCACACUGGGACUGAGACACGGCCCAGACUCCUACGGGAGGCAGCAGUGGGGAAUAUUGCACAAUGGGCGCAAGCCUGAUGCAGCCAUGCCGCGUGUGUGAAGAAGGCCUUCGGGUUGUAAAGCACUUUCAGUAAGGAGGAAAGGUUAGUCACUAAUAUUGGCUAGCUGUGACGUUACUUACAGAAGAAGCACCGGCUAACUCCGUGCCAGCAGCCGCGGUAAUACGGAGGGUGCGAGCGUUAAUCGGAAUUACUGGGCGUAAAGCGUACGCAGGCGGUUUGUUAAGCGAGAUGUGAAAGCCCCGGGCUCAACCUGGGAACUGCAUUUCGAACUGGCAAACUAGAGUGUGAUAGAGGGUGGUAGAAUUUCAGGUGUAGCGGGUGAAAUGCGUAGAGAUCUGAAGGAAUACCGAUGGCGAAGGCAGCCACCUGGGUCAACACUGACGCUCAUGUACGAAAGCGUGGGGAGCAAACAGGAUUUAGAUACCCUGGUAGUCCACGCCGUAAACGAUGUCUACUAUAAGCUCGGUUUCCUCGGAACUGUUUUUCAAAGCUAACGCAUUAAGUAGACCGCCCUGGGGAGUACGGCCGGCAGGGUUUAAAACU
rnacentral:rRNA from 1 species